rnacentral:rRNA from 1 species
GAGUGAAAUCCGUAGAUAUUAGAAGGAACACCAAUGGCGUAGGCAGGCUACUGGACCAUUUCUGACGCUGAGGCACGAAAGCGUGGGGAGCGAACCGGAUUAGAUACCCGGGUAGUCCACGCCGUAAACGAUGGAUGCUAGCUGUGGGGGGUAUCGACCCCCUUCCGUAGCGAAGCUAACGCGUUAAGCAUCCCGCCUGUGGAGUACGGCCGCAAGGCUAAAACAUAAAGGAAUUGACGGGGACCCGCACAAGCGGUGGAGCGUGUUCUUUAAUUCGAUGAUAAACGAAAAACCUUACCAGGGCUUGACAUCCCUUGAAUUUUGUCGAAAGACGAGAGUGCUUUAUUGAACAAGGUGACAGGUGAUGCAUGGCCGUCUUCAGCUCGUGUCGUGAGAUGUUUGGUUAAGUCCAUCAACGAGCGCAACCCUUAUACUUAGUUGGAUUUUUCUAGGUAGACUGCCCCGGUAACGGGGAGGAAGGGGGGGAUGAUGUCAGGUCAGUAUUUCCCUUACGUCCUGGGCUAGAAACGCGCUACAAUGGCCGGUACAACGGGCAGCCAAGCUGCAAAGCGGAGCAAAUCCCAACAAAGCCGGUCCCAGUUCGGAUUGGAGGCUGAAACUCGCCUCCAUGAAGUCGGAAUCGCUAGUAAUCGCAAAUCAGCAUGUUGCGGUGAAUACGUUCCCGGGUCUUGUACACACCGCCCGUCAAACCAUGAAAGUGACCAACACCCGAAGUCCGAUUCGUCGGCCUAAGGUGGGGGGCAUGAUUGGGGUUAAGUCGUAACAAGGUAACCAAGGG